rnacentral:rRNA from 1 species
ACAGGGAUUGCCCUAGUAACGGCGAGUGAAGCGGCAACAGCUCAAAUUUGAAAUCUGGCUCUUUUAGAGUCCGAGUUGUAAUUUGCAGAGGGCGCUUUGGCUUUGGCAGCGGUCCAAGUUCCUUGGAACAGGACGUCACAGAGGGUGAGAAUCCCGUACGUGGUCGCUGGCUAUUGCCGUGUAAAGCCCCUUCGACGAGUCGAGUUGUUUGGGAAUGCAGCUCUAAAUGGGAGGUACAUUUCUUCUAAAGCUAAAUAUUGGCCAGAGACCGAUAGCGCACAAGUAGAGUGAUCGAAAGAUGAAAAGCACUUUGGAAAGAGAGUCAAACAGCACGUGAAAUUGUUAAAAGGGAAGCGCUUGCAGCCAGACUUGCUUGCAGUUGCUCAUCCGGGCUUUUGCCCGGUGCACUCUUCUGUAGGCAGGCCAGCAUCAGUUUGGGCGGUAGGAUAAAGGUCUCUGUCACGUACCUCCUUUCGGGGAGGCCUUAUAGGGGAGACGACAUACUACCAGCCUGGACUGAGGUCCGCGCAUCUGCUAGGAUGCUGGCGUAAUGGCUGUAAGCGGCCCGUCUUGAAACACGGACCAAGGAGUCUAACAUCUAUGCGAGUGUUUGGGUGUCAAGCCCGAGCGCGUAAUGAAAGUGAACGGAGGUGGGAACCCGCAAGGGUGCACCAUCGACCGAUCCUGAUGUCUUCGGAAGGAUUUGAGUAAGAGCAUGGCUGUUGGGACCCGAAAGAUGGUGAACUAUGCUUGAAUAGGGUGAAGCCAGAGGAAACUCUGGUGGAGGCUCGCAGCGGUUCUGACGUGCAAAUCGAUCGUCAAAUUUGGGCAUAGGGGCGAAAGACUAAU